rnacentral:tRNA from 4 species
GCCGCCUUAGCUCAGUCGGUAGAGCGAAUCACUCGUAAUGAUUAGGUCAUCGGUUCGAUUCCGAUAGGCGGCUCCA